CGUGCCCAGUCGUGGGGGAUAACGUAGCGAAAGUUACGCUAAUACCGCAUACGAUCUACGGAUGAAAGCGGGGGAUCGCAAGACCUCGCGCGAUUGGAGCGGCCGAUAUCAGAUUAGGUAGUUGGUGGGGUAAAGGCUCACCAAGCCAACGAUCUGUAGCUGGUCUGAGAGGACGACCAGCCACACUGGAACUGAGACACGGUCCAGACUCCUACGGGAGGCAGCAGUGGGGAAUUUUGGACAAUGGACGCAAGUCUGAUCCAGCCAUUCCGCGUGCAGGAUGAAGGCCCUCGGGUUGUAAACUGCUUUUGUACGGAACGAAAAGGUCUCUAUUAAUACUAGGGGCUCAUGACGGUACCGUAAGAAUAAGCACCGGCUAACUACGUGCCAGCGGCCGCGGUAAUACGUAGGGUGCAAGCGUUAAUCGGAAUUACUGGGCGUAAAGCGUGCGCAGGCGGUUAUGUAAGACAGAGGUGAAAUCCCCGGGCUCAACCUGGGAACUGCCUUUGUGACUGCAUAGCUAGAGUACGGUAGAGGGGGAUGGAACUCCGCGUGUAGCAGUGAAAUGCGUAGAUAUGCGGAGGAACACCGAUGGCGAAGGCAAUCCCCUGGACCUGUACUGACGCUCAUGCACGAAAGCGUGGGGAGCAAACAGGAUUAGAUACCCUGGUAGUCCACGCC
rnacentral:rRNA from 1 species